CUCAAUUCGAGAUACAUUGAACCCUUUCGUAUCAUUGAAAGGAUUGGGCCAGUGGCUCAUAGACUUGAAUUACCCCCGGAGUUAGAUCGGAUUCAUAAUGUCUUCCAUGUCUUGAUGUUGAAAAAGUAUGUUCCUGAUCCCUCUCACAUUCUAGAGACACCCUCCAUUGAGUUGCAUGAAGAUUUGAAGUUCGAGAUGUAGCCUAUACGUAUUCUAGAUCGAAAGGAUCGAGUGCUAAGGAACAAGAGUAUUCCAAUGGUGAAAGUAUUAUGGAAAAAUGCUCGAAUGGAAGAGAUGACAUGGGAAGUCGAGCGCUAGAUGAGAAACCAAUAUCCACAUCUUUUCUUGGAAUCUGGUGGUGAAUCCUCCGAUAAAGGUAAGGAAAUAGUACUCGAGGAUCGGUAGUCAGAGUACUCUAGAAAUUCGACUCCCGAAAUAGUUCAGAUUAGACUGUAGAUAGCUGAGUUCAUCGAGGACUACCCUUGGAUUUGCAUUCCUUCAAACUGUAAGUUCACAGUCCUCUUUACUUUUGGUUAUUCGGGGGCCCACUGGUCAUUGUAAAUUAAAUUAAAUGCUCUGGU
rnacentral:sRNA from 1 species